AGCGGCGGAUGGGUGAGUAACACGUGGGGAACCUGCCCCUAAGUCUGGGAUACCAUUUGGAAACAGGUGCUAUUACCGGAUAAUAAAGCAGAUCGCAUGAUCAGCUUUUGAAAGGCGGCGUAAGCUGUCGCUAAGGGAUGGCCCCGCGGUGCAUUAGCUAGUUGGUAAGGUAACGGCUUACCAAGGCGACGAUGCAUAGCCGAGUUGAGAGACUGAUCGGCCACAUUGGGACUGAGACACGGCCCAAACUCCUACGGGAGGCAGCAGUAGGGAAUCUUCCACAAUGGACGCAAGUCUGAUGGAGCAACGCCGCGUGAGUGAAGAAGGUUUUCGGAUCGUAAAGCUCUGUUGUUGGUGAAGAAGGAUAGAGGUAGUAACUGGCCUUUAUUUGACGGUAAUCAACCAGAAAGUCACGGCUAACUACGUGCCAGCAGCCGCGGUAAUACGUAGGUGGCAAGCGUUGUCCGGAUUUAUUGGGCGUAAAGCGAGCGCAGGCGGAAAAAUAAGUCUAAUGUGAAAGCCCUCGGCUUAACCGAGGAACUGCAUCGGAAACUGUUUUUCUUGAGUGCAGAAGAGGAGAGUGGAACUCCAUGUGUAGCGGUGGAAUGCGUAGAUAUAUGGAAGAACACCAGUGGCGAAAGCGGCUCUCUGGUCUGCAACUGACGCUGAGACUCGAAAGCAUG
rnacentral:rRNA from 1 species